CUCCUCCCACACUAUUCGUUUACACUAACCACUUCCUUAUCCACACCAAUCCAGAACGUUCCUCAAAAAGCUCCCUCCUUUUCUCUCAAAAUGGCGUCUGCAAACGCUCUCUCUUCCGCCUCCGUCCUCUGUUCUUCCCGUCAGGUACAAAGUUUGUUCCUUUUUACCUUCCUUAGCUACUUACUAAAGAAGAAAAUGAAUCAUCUUUCAUUACUUUGUUUUGAUUGGAUUUGACCCUUCAGUGUUAUCUAUUUUCAAAAACCUUUCUCUAUCUGGUUUAUUGGGUUUUUGAAGAAAGUGAUUGAAUUUGACCCUUUAGUUUGUUCUGUUUCAAUUCAAUUGCUUUUCUCUAUUUGGUUUCUGGGUUGGUGAGAAAAGGUUAAUUUUUAUGGGAAUUAGAAGAAACUGAUUGAGAUUAAUGUUAAUGAAUCUGCUUUAUUGAUGUUGUGGGUAUACAGAGUAAGUUGGGAGGAGGAAAUCAGCAGCAAGGUCAGAGAGUUAGCUACAACAAGAGGACAAUCAGACGUUUUAGUGUUAGAGCUAAUGUAAAGGAAAUAGCUUUUGACCAGCACUCUAGAGCUGCUCUACAAGCUGGUAUUGAUAAGCUUGCUGAUUGUGUUGGUCUCACUCUUGGCCCUAGAGGUAUUUGUUAAUAUUAGUAGCUCCUUUACUCUUUCCAUCUUCAUCUGUGUUAUUUAUCUUUCGACUUAUCUUGGUGUUUUCAUUUGUUAUUCUUAAGGGAGGAAUGUUGUGUUGGAUGAAUUUGGAAGUCCUAAGGUUGUGAAUGAUGGAGUCACCAUUGCUAGAGCUAUUGAGUUACCUAAUGCCAUGGAAAAUGCUGGUGCAGCGCUUAUUCGUGAGGUUGGUGUAGCUUUGUUAUUGUCUCUGUUAAUGCUAUUUAUACGGUGCGGUAAUCUGGUGUUGUUAUGUGGUAGGUUGCGAGUAAGACUAAUGACUCUGCUGGUGAUGGGACAACCACUGCGUCUAUCCUUGCUCGGGAGAUAAUCAAACAUGGAUUGUUGAGCGUCACUUCUGGUGCGAAUCCCGUUUCACUCAAGAGGGGAAUUGAUAAGACUGUUCAAGGUCUGAUCGAAGAGCUUCAGAAGAAAGCUAGGCCCGUGAAAGGUCGUGAUGACAUCAGAGGUACUAACUUUGCAGUGACCUUCCUUGUGAUGCAGCAAUGUUUGAUUUCUUUUACUGAUCAAUCUGUUCUUUUUUUUUUUUCCAGCUGUGGCUUCUAUCUCUGCUGGAAAUGAUGACCUUAUAGGGUCAAUGAUUGCUGAUGCCAUCGACAAAGUUGGACCUGAUGGUGUUUUGUCCAUUGAAUCUUCAUCUUCUUUUGAGACCACGGUCGAAGUUGAAGAAGGGAUGGAGGUAUGAGUUUUUUUGUCUUGCUUCUCUUCAACUGUAAUUUUAUUCACCAUUCAUUGCCAAUGACUAACUUGAUUAUUUACAGAUUGACAGAGGUUACAUCUCGCCUCAGUUUGUUACAAACCCUGAGAAACUACUAGCUGAGUUUGAGAAUGCUAGGGUAUUGAUCACUGAUCAGAAGAUCACUGCGAUCAAAGACAUCAUCCCUAUUUUGGAGAAGACCACUCAGCUUCGUGCUCCGUUGUUGAUUAUUGCAGAGGAUGUUACUGGUGAAGCCUUAGCUACCCUUGUCGUGAACAAGCUUCGUGGUGUCCUCAAUGUUGUUGCCGUUAAAGCGCCAGGAUUUGGAGAAAGAAGAAAAGCCAUGCUUCAAGAUAUUGCAAUCUUGACAGGUAUAUGCAGAUUUCGCGUGCGUUUAGUACUUUUACUUUCUCUCUGUUAUGGUCUAAACUUUUUAUCAUUUUGUAUGUUUUUCAGGAGCUGAGUACCUAGCCAUGGACAUGAGCUUACUGGUUGAAAACGCAACCAUAGAUCAAUUGGGUAUUGCCCGAAAAGUCACGAUUAGCAAAGAUUCGACUACCCUCAUUGCAGAUGCAGCUUCCAAGGACGAAUUACAAGCUCGGAUUGCUCAGCUGAAGAAAGAACUAUUCGAGACUGAUUCUGUGUAUGACUCAGAGAAGCUCGCUGAGAGAAUUGCGAAGCUAUCUGGAGGUGUUGCUGUCAUUAAAGUCGGAGCAGCAACUGAAACUGAGCUUGAGGACCGUAAGCUUCGUAUCGAGGAUGCAAAGAACGCAACAUUUGCUGCUAUCGAGGAAGGCAUAGUUCCAGGUGGUGGUGCUGCUUUGGUGCAUCUCUCCACUGUUAUUCCCGCCAUUAAGGAGACUUUUGAGGAUGCUGAUGAACGUUUGGGAGCUGACAUAGUACAAAAGGUAGCAUUUAGUUUUUCGGUUCAGUAUUUGUUCUGUAACCAAUUGUGACUAGUUAUCUUAUAAGGGUUUAUGUUUUGAGUUCAGGCAUUGCUGUCACCAGCUGCUCUUAUUGCUCAGAACGCUGGAGUUGAAGGAGAAGUUGUUGUGGAAAAGAUUAUGUUCAGCGAUUGGGAGAAUGGGUACAACGCAAUGACUGAUACAUAUGAGAAUCUGUUCGAAGCUGGAGUGAUUGAUCCGGCUAAAGUGACAAGAUGUGCGCUACAGAACGCUGCUUCCGUAGCAGGAAUGGUACUGACCACUCAGGCCAUUGUUGUUGACAAACCGAAACCCAAGGCUCCUGCUGCUGCUGCUCCUGAGGGUCUCAUGGUGUAAUCAAAACACAACAUCUUAUCAUCACAAUGGCAUCUUUGUCUUUUUGCACAUUUGUCAUCCCCAUUUAUCUGCAAUGUUUUUCUUUUUUGGGGGAAUAUGAGUAGUUUGUUAACAGUAUCGAGAAAUAAUUAUCAUCUUUUUUGUCCAAUGGAAAUUGCAGAAAAUGGUUAUGUAUGCGACCAAACAUUUUAUAUGUAGCGAGAGUAGUUUAGCAGAACAAUAAGCAAAUAUGCGUACAAACUGAAUAAUGUUCCAACUUACUAUACUAUUAAACUAGGAGGGAACAAUGUUUUUUCAUGCCUUUACUAGUUUUCUCAUAAAACUUGAUCUGGAUAUUGCACUUCGAUGAUCUACGAACCAUUAGCAGAUCUCCGGUGAUUCGAUACUUCUCCUUGUCGUUUAUUGCACAGGCACGAACUUUGACAAGCACAAGACAUGACAGUUUCUCUAUGAAAUGUCUCAUUUCCUCUAGCUCUUCAAUUGUUCCUUCAUAUUCAGUUAUCUUCAAUACUUUCACAGGACAUCACAAUCCAUAUAUUCUUGUAAAGUUAAGUAUAUAUACAGGGAGAUCAGACUCGUUGGAACCACUCGUACUUUGACUUGGAACUGCUCCAAAACUAAAAGAAUUUUUGGUAGAUGAUUAUGUAUGUAUCCUUCUCUUCCUCCUCUUCUUGUUCUAGCUUUGAUGGACUAAAAUACUAGUCAAAAUUUUGCUUAAUAUAUACCCCUUAUUGCUUCUCAGAGAUAUAUCUACAAAACCGAGGAUCUUCCAUUUUGAUGGAAUCAACCGAGUCUUGUUCCCGGAUGCUUGUCAUCGCAGCUAGAGAUAUUCGAGUGGAAAGGAUAUAGAGAUAGAGUAGAAGGGGAAAAAUUCUUGACAUACAUUUUAGCCAACUCUAAGCGUUUAAAGACCGCAACAAUCUCUCUGCCCUUCGAUCUUGAAGAUCAAGAGGUGAUCAUCGAGGAGUUGAAAGAUAUUCCUAGGGUUUCAACAACAUCUCACCUUUUGUUCAUAUGAAAAUUCUAUGGAAGCUUGGCGAAUGGGCAAGCUUAGACUACUUAUCUGCUAUUAUAUGUUUUAAUCAACUUGCAAAGAUUAGUAACAUAAAAAAAAAUAUUAAGAAUUCUAGACAAGUUAGACUACUUCCUACAAACGUGUAGUGGAAGGUGCUAAUAUUUGCCAAUACAACAUUAAUAAGAAUCUUUAAGAAACCAAUCCAUGCCUAGAAAUAUAAAUUUCAACUCAAGCGCCUAAGCAACUUCGCAUAUUAUUCAUUAAAAAUUUAAAACUUUAUUGAUAGGACAUAGAUAAAUAACAAACUGAAGUUAACCAAACAAACUGAAGUUGAAAAUAAUAAUAAAGAUAGAAAAGAGACUCUCUAGGGUUUGUUUCUUCAAUUCCACAAUGCAGAACAAUUGGUGGGACUGAAAGAAACCAGAAGUGAAGAAGAAUCAUAACCCACCAAGAAAUUGUUCUGUGCUCUGUUCCCAAAGAUAGCUUCUUGUGUUGGACUAUUACAUAUAAUAGCCAGACAAAAAACUCCUCCGUUAUUCGAUUCCAUAUACAUAUUGUACUUAUCCAAGACAAGAUCAACACCGCCAGAAAAAUGCAUUGUGAUCACCGGAAAGAUAUCUAUGGUGUCCGAGUUGUAGCAAAGCAUGUCAUUGCCGGUCGGGUCAGCUGCUCGAACCGCUGUCACAACGUGUUCCACUGCCUGUCUUACUAGAUUGCAGUAGCUCACUGGAAAGUACGUGAGAGUGGUUCCAGAGUCUAUAACUAUGUUCCCUUCUAAGGCAUGAAACGUUGUCCCCAUUGUCUCAAUGCGGGUGUUCCCAACGCUGACCGCGUCUAGGUUUAGGUAAUAGAAACCUGGUUUCGCCGUCGUCAUAAACAUAGUGGUUGAUACAACCCCAUCUCCUGCCACAAUAGCAUUCGCUCCAAAAUUGAUCUUACUAGUUCCUUGACCAGAAAAGCAGUAAGACAUCAAACCUGGGUACUCACCGCCCAUCUGAGUGAUGAGCGAUGAAGGUCCCCAGUUUAGACCAACCAUGCCCGAAAAACUAGGUUUAAACCAUGAGUUGUUGUGGCCACAACCAAUAAUGGUUUCAGGCAUCACAAAGGGUUCCCCUGAAGUGGAGUGGAGUGUGAUUGUCUCGGUUGCUAAGGUUCCCAUGGUGUAGGUAUGGUCGAAGUAAUCUACCUCGUAAGGACAAGAGUGGCCAUCGCAUCUUUUCUCCUUGAAGGUUGAGGAUUUCGAAGGGUCGAAUAUAGGAGCGUUUUGUUCGUAGCAGUGAACACAAGGCAAACAUUGUGUCCAUGUGAUCUCGCUUCCAGUGUCUAUGAUAGCUUGGAUCUCGAAAGGAGGAGUACCGACUUGUAGUUUCAUUAGAUACACGGAGUUAUCAAAGACGGUAUUAGCGUAAGGUGAUGAUCCGGACUGAGUAUUAGAGACUCGAGAAGAAGCAUUGGAGCGACGGUGGAUCAAGUCCAUGGUGAAGCCGUGAGGUGGUGAGGCUGUGGUCGUGAAGAGAAAACAUAAACUGAUUUGAAGAAAAAGAACGAUUAUUGUGGUUGCAAGAGACAUUGCUAUCGAAUAAUAUUUUUGGGUUUUCAGACACAAUGCAAUGUUCUUCAUUCAUGCACAUAUUUAUACAUGUUAGAGCUUUUGUCAUAAUUGUUAAUUUUCCAAUUUAUCAACUUCGUCCAAUUUUUGUUAUUUCCAUUACGUCUUCUAACUUGGGGGAAUUUUACAUUUUGAUACUACUAAGUUUUAUUUUUCUUUCCAGGUUUUACAUUCUUUUAGAUUUACUUUUUGUAUUAAUGGAAAUUAUAAUUUUUUAUGACCAAUUUCGUAAGAAAAUUGUAGAAAACAACUGUUUCUUACCAAUUUCGUAGGAAACGGCUGUUUCUUAUCAUUUUCCUACCAAAAUUAUUCCUAGCAAAUGUUCUGUACAAAAUCGAAAGUGGUAGAAAAUUUCCUACGAAAAUAAAUUGGUAGAAAAUUCAUUGAAAAUUUGGUAAAACAAUGGAAAGAAAAUUUUGACCGAUUUUCUACCAAGAUAUUCGUAGAAAAAUAUUUCUUACUAAUUGUUUCCUAUGAAUCUCUAAUUAAUUAAAAAUGUAUAUAAUUAAAUUGCUUUCAAUAAUAUAUUAAUUACGAAAAUUAAAUUCAAAAUUAUAAAUAGUCAUUAUCUAUUAAUCUGAAUAAUACUCCAUCUGUUCAUUUUUGUUUGAUUUUCUAAAAAAAAUAUAUGUUUCAAAAGAUUGAUUUUUUAGGUUUUCAAUGUAAUAUUUAUUAGUUAUUAUUAAUGAAUUGUAAACUUUAACAAAGAUGGUUGAAUAUUAUUGGUUUAAAGUUAUAGAAAAUUGUAAACACACAAAAAACAAUACAUUUAAAAUUAACUUUAAUAUGUUUUUUUAAUAUGUGUAUUUUUCUAAACAAUAAAAAAAAAGGAACAGAGGGAGUAAUAUUUAUACUAUCAAAUUAUUUAACAAAAAUAAAAUAAAUAUCUAAAAUCAAUUUGAAAAUAAAUUUGAUUGUUUGCUCCAAAAACAAAAAACAAAUUGAUCAACUCUUGCAUUGAUGGAUGACCAUUGUGGAGUAUCCUCUCGAAUAUAUAAGUGAGUUCGAUGAGCUGAAAAAACGUAAGAUAUUUCAACACUUUGACAAUAAGUUAUAAAGAAAACAAUUUACUAUGUCAAUAAAUACCUUGAGAAAUAAUCUGAAAAGGGCAGUAGAUUGUACCAUCGUUAAUCCGUCUUCUCAUGAAGACCAAAAACUCAAUUGCUCCAUGUUGGUAAUGAUGUAUGCCUGCGAAGCCAUUUCAUGUAAUCAGAUUAAAUGUUCAAGAAGAGCAACGAGGACAAUUAAAUGUUCAAAUAAAACCAUCUAAGAGACGUAUUCAUAUACCAUAAAAUAAGGACAGCAGCAAAACAUAGAUAAUGGGAGAGAAAAUUAACAAACUUCAGCAAAAAAUCAAAACUUGAAUGAAUGAAAACGAUGCUAAGGUCUCAAACCAACUUCAAGACGAUCAAACGUAUAACAAAGAAACGAAAUCAAACAGUCACAAAAAAAGAGAGAAAGAGUAAAGGGUUAUACAUACCAGAAAAUCUCCUUUAAACUCUAGAAAAUCUCCGUAUCUAAGGUCUAAGUCAUUGGAAAUCUAGGUGUUUUCUUCUAAUCUUCAUGCCCUUUUGGUGAUGAUGCUUAGUUACAAUGUUAAGACAGAAUAUGAGAAUUGAACAAAUUGAUGCAUCUAGAACAAUGUCUUGUUAAUGUAUUUCCUGUAAUCUGUCUUUUGGUGAUGAAUCUUGAUGCUAUUUAAAAUGUUAGAGCUUGAGCAAUUGAGACAGGUGCAUAACAAUGUUUGAUGCGUUUAGUUGACAAAGUUCAUGUUCUAGAUUGUAUAUUGUUAACAGAGUUUCUUGUUAUCUCUUUGGAUACUAUAUAUACAAUGUUUAAGACAGAUAUGAUAGACAUUGAACAUUGAACUAAAGGCUGUGUGUGUAUCCUUACAGGUGGAGUAUCUUCCUAUAUCAUCAAUGGAAAUAGCAAGAAAAGUGAUGGAGGAGUUCUUGGAGAUAUGGAAUGAAGCUCUGGCUAAAAGGUCGUUACCGGGUAAGUUUGUGAACAAAGAUCUUAACUUUGGGGAGUUUGGACUUGGAGACAACUACACUCCACAACACACCGCUGUUCGUAAUUACGCUCUCGUUAUGGCUCACAUGAUUGCUACCGUUCAAGCUGUGAGUGGCUAAACCAAAACUCAGCUUUGUAUUUAGGUAGAAUUCUGUGUUUUGCGUUAUUAGUGAUUUCGUUAGCCAUGUUUAUCUAUAAGAAGCAUUGAGAAAAAAAUUGGACUUUUAUAGCAGAUUGUGAUUUGAAUUUCGAUUAAUUAUGUAACUCAUUGGCAUAUUCUUUCAUUAAAACCUAUCUAUGUCGUAUGCUUUUAAUUAAAAACGGACAAAUAAAUAGAAGUUAUAACUAUAAAAAGGUCAAAAAGAGACUCUCUAGGGUUUGUUUCUUCAAUUCCACAAUGCAGAACAAUUGGUGGGACUGAAAGAAACCAAAAGUGAAGAAGAAUCAUAACCCACCAAAAAAUUGUUCUGUGCUCUGUUCCCAAAGAUAGCAUCUUGUGGUGGAUUAUUACAUAUAAUAGCCAGACAAAAGGUUCCUCUCGUAAUCGUUUCGAUAUACAUGUUAUACUUAUCCAAGACAAGAUCCGCACCGCCAGAAAAAUGCAUUGUGAUCACGGGAAAGAUAUCUAUGGUGUCCGUGUAGUAGCAAAGCAUGUCAUUGCCGGUAGGGUCGGCUGUUCGAACCGCUGUCACAUAAUGAUCCACUGCCUCUCUUACUAGGUUGCAGUAGCUCACAGGAAAGUAGGUUAGAGUGGUUCCAGAGUCUAUAAUUAUGUUCCCUUCUAACGCAUGAAACGUUGUCCCCAUUGUCUCAACAUGGGUGUCCCCAACGCUGACCGCGUCUAGAUUUAGGUAAUAUAAACCUGGUUUCGCCGUCGUGAGAAACAUAGUGGUUGAUACAACCCCAUCUCCUGCAACAAUAGCAUUUGUUCCAAAAUUGAUCUUACUAGUUCCUUGACUAGCAAAACAGUAAGACAUCAAACCUGGGUACUCACCGCCCAUCUGAGUGAUGAGCGAUGAAGGUCCCCAGCUUAGACCAACCAUGCCCGAAAAAGUAGGUUUAAACCAUGAGCUGUUGUGGCCACAACCAAUAGUGGUUUCAGGCAUCACAAAGGGUUCCCCUGAAGUGGAAUGGAUCGUGACCGUCUCGGUUGCCAAGGUUCCCUUGGAAUAGGUUGUGUCCGCGUAGAUAAUCUUGUAAUGACAAGAGUUCCCGUUGCAUCUUUUUUCUUUGAAGGUUGAAGAAUUCGAAGGGUCGAAUAUAGGAGCGUAUUGGCUGUAGCAGUUAGUACAAGGCAUACAUUGUGUCCAUAUGAGGUCACUUCCUGUGUCUAUCUCCGCUUCGAUCUCGAAAGGAGGAGUACCGACUUGUAGUUUCAUUAGAUAGAUGUUGUAGUCAAAUAAAGUAUCGGCGUAAGGUGAUGCUCCUUGCAACUGAUUUUUGGACAGUCGAGAAGAAGAUGAAUUCGAACGACGCUGGAUCAAGUCAAUGGUGAAGCCGUGAGGUGAUGAGGCAGUGGUCGUGAAGAGAGAACAUGUAAUGAUUUGAAGAAAAAGAACGAUCAUUGUGGUUGCAAGAGACAUUGAUUGAUAUCGAAUAAUAUUUUUGGUUUUUCAGACACAAUGUAAUGUUCUUCAUUAAUUCAUGCACAUAUUUAUACAUGUUAGACCUUUUGUCGUAAUUGUUAAGUUUUCAAUUUUGUCAACUUCGUUCAAUUUUGUUAUUGCCAUUACGUCUUCUAACUUGGGGGAAUUUUACAUUUUGUUACUACUAAGUUUUAUUUUUCUCUCUAGGUUUUACAUUCUUUUAGAUUGACUUUUUGUAUUAAUGGAAAUUAGAUGAUCACCUUGCUAUAGCAAAAUGUAUAAUUUCUUGGAAAUUUUAGUCUAAAGUUAUUGUUGAUGAACCUAAAAUUCAAAAUAUACUUUUAUAGAUAGAUAUUGGUUUUGGAUAACUUAAUCUUCUUGCCAUAAAACCAUCUCCUACCUAUGGUAUCUCACCAGAGUCUGAAGUUAUAUUUGAACAUAUGAGAGGGCUCAAACGGCUCGGUGGGAGGAGUUAAUUAUCACAACUUGUGGCUGCUAGGGCUCUAAAGAGGUUUGGAAUAUGAGACUUUACGUAUUAUAGGUUUCUUUCUGUUUUUCUACAAACUUGUUAAUAUUAUCAUUUGGAAGGUGUUAAUCUUGCCAAUCCUUAAGCAACCCAUAUCAAUGCAAGAAAUAUACAGAUUCUAAGUAACUUUGCAUAUUAUUCAUAUAAACAUAUCCAUGGUCUAUGCUUUUAUUUUGAUAAGAUAUAUAUAAAUAACAAACUGAAGUUAACCGAGAAAAACAAACUGAAGUUGAAAAUGAUGGAAAAGAGACUCUCUAGGGUUUGUUACUUCAAUUCCACAAAGCAGAACAAUUGGUGGGCUUGAAAGAAACCAGCAGUGAAGAAGAAUCAUAACCCACCAAGAAAUUGUUCUGUGCUCUGUUCCCAAAGAUAGCUUCUUCUAUUGGACUAUUACAUAUAAUAGCCAGGCAAAAAACUCCUCCUGUAUUCGAUGCCACAUACAUAUUGUACUUAUCCAAGACAAGAUCCGCACCGCCAGAAAAAUGCAUUGUGAUCACCGGAAAGAUAUCUAUGGUCUUUGAAUAGUAGCAAAGAAUGUCACUGCGCGGGAAUCGAACCGCUGUCACAACCUGUUCCACUGCCUUUCUUACUAGGUUGCAGUAGCUCUCAGGAAAGUACGUGAGAGUGCUUCCAGAGUCUAUCACUAUGUUCCCUUUUAAGGCAUGAAAGGGUGUCCCCACUGUCUCAAUGCGGGUGUUCCCAACGCUGACCGCGUCUAGGUUUAGGUAAUAGAAACCUGGUUUCGCGGUCUUGACGAACACAGUAGUUGAUACAACCCCAUCUCCUGCCACAAUAGCAUUCGCUCCAAAAUUGAUCUUACUAGUUCCCUUACCAGCAAAACAGUAAGACAUCAAACCUGGGUACUCACCGCCCAUCUGAGUGAUGAGGGAUUUAGGUCCUCUGUCUAGACCAACAACGCCCGCAAAACCCGGUUUAAACCCUGAGUUGUUGCGGCCACAACCAAUAAUUGUUUCAGGCAUCACAAAGGGUUGCCCUGAAGUGGAAUGGAUCGUGACUGUCUCGGUCACUAAGGUUCCCUUGGUGUAGCUUUUGCCGCCGUAGACAAGCUCGUAAGGACAAGAGUGAUCAUGUGUGUCGCAUCUUAUCUCUUUGAAGGUUGAGGAUUUGGAAGGGUCGAAUAUGGGAGCGGUUUGGUUGUAGCAGUGAACACAAGGCAAACAUUGUGUCCAUAUGUGCUCGCUUCCGGUGUCUAAGACAGCUUCGAUCUCGAAAGGAGGAGUACCGAUUUGUAGUUUCAUCAGGUACUCGUAGGUAUCAAAGACGGUAUCAGCGUAAGGUGAUCCGAGCUGAGUAUUAAAGACUCGAGAAGAAGAUGCAUUGGAGCGACGGUGGAUCAAGUCGAUAGUGAAGCCCUGAGGUGAUGAGGCUGUGGUGGUAAUGAGAAAAUAUGUAAUGAUUUGAAGAAAGAUGGCGAUCAUUGUGGUUGCAAGAGACAUUGCUAUCGAAUAAUAUUUUUGGGUUUUCAGACACAAUGCAAUGUAUUUAUUGUUUUUUUUUAUGUUAAGUUUCAUCAAUAUAAAGAAAUAACAGAUUACAUUACAUAUAUAUAUAAUUAUAUUAAUUAGUUAUAUUUAUAUAAAGAAAUAACAGAUUACAUUCCAAAUAACAAAAAUAAAAUCUUAAGUUUAGUAGCAAUAAUUAAUAAUACAAUCAAAGAGCUAUAUUUUAUUAAAUAUCACAAUUAAGAUAAUAUAAGAAAUGUUAUCAAGGAAAAUAUUGAAGAUAUGAAGUCUAUAUAAGGGAAAAUAAUAUUACAUAUACAUGAUUUUAUCAAAAGACUAAAAUGGUGACAAAAAUUCUAUCAAAACAUAAUUUUGAAUUUUUUUAAACGAAAAUAUAAUAUUAUUGCCAUAAGCUUGCUAAUAUUUUGUUCUCCUGUUAUAGUAUUAAAAAGAAAGAAAAAAAAGUUAUGAGAUUCAAAAUUUUGCGAUUUACCUUCAAUCUUCAAGUAGUCCCUCGACCUUAUUUUGGUUGUCAUGAAAGAGUUAGCAACAUGGACCUAAUCAAACUAACGUUCCUCGUCCUCGGUCCCCAUAUCAAUCCUUCUCCUGUCACCAUUCCCUUUCAUCUUCAUCCGGAACCACAAAUCUUUCAAAGAAUGUAUCUUUUGGAGGUAUGGAACAACUAUGUGCACAUCACUAUACUUCAUGUGUAUCUUUGAGUCUUAGUUGAGCUAGUCAGCUAGAUUACCAUAUCUUCGACAUUAAGUUUUUGUAGUUGGACUUGGAGACUUGGUAAGGGAAAGGCGUGUCAUCUCACUCUUUAGGUAAUAAGAAAGAAGAUAAGUCUUCCUCGACUACGACCACAUCUUCAUUUCAGACCAUAUUGAGAACACGAUUUUGGUUUAAUACCACACUUAACCACAAUGGUAAUCAGCAUUUGUGCCUCUUUCCUGUUUACUUCAAACAACGAAUCAGCUAAUCUUUCACAUAUCGUAGCACCAGGAAUGAAUCCAUCCCUAAUCAUCUCAGCCACCACUUCCAAAGAUUUAUCUAUCAUUCCUACUCUGUAACACUCUUCACUCAAUGUACUAUACAUUUCUUCAUCAAUCUCAAACUCAUUCACUCGCAACUCAUUCAAAAAACUCAUCGCUUCACAAACUUUCCCAGCUUUGCAAAGUCCAUUCAUCAACACCCAAUACGUAUCUUUGUUCGGAGUAACACCUCGAGAACUCAUUUCGCUAUAUAGUUCAAUCACUUUCUCCACUAGUCCAAACCGAGAGUACCCAUUCAUAAUCAAAUUAUACAGAUAACUCUCCACUCUUAACUUCUUAUCAUGCAUCAUCAAAACCAACCUCUCUGCUUCUUCAACCUUACCAUAACUAGUAAACCCAUCAAUCAAAACCUUGUAACUAUCGAGAUCAAGCAUCACACUUUCCUUCUCCAUUAACUUAAGAACCAAAUCCAACUCUUCAAAAUCCCAUCUUUUCACACAACAACCAAUCAUCGACUUAAACGUAACAAUAUUAGCCUUAACCCCUUUAACCAACCCCAUCUCCUCCACCAAUUCUCUUGCUCUUGUAAUCUCCCCAUUGCAACACAACACCGUAACAACAACAGUUAAAGAGUACACAGUAACAACAUCAAUCCCUGACUCAACCAUUAGACUAAAGAAAUCUCUAGCUAGUUCCAUCUGAUCACAUCUCUUGAGAUUCAACAAAUGCAAAGUACAAGUCUUUUCAUCAAUCUUAACUUCAUUGUUCUUCAUAUACUCAAAAACCUCAACAACUUCACUAAAUUUUCCAUUGUCUGAAUAAACCAUAAUCAUCGAAUUAAAGAACCUCCCAACAACUUUCUUCUCACAACCACAUUCAUCAAUAACGCUAGAGACGAUUACAUUAAAAGGGUACCUGAGAAUGUCAUCAAUAGCCACAGGCUUCAAGAGUUCUUUCGCAUAUGAGAAUCUCCUCUCCGACAAGACACGGAAAGUGAGAGACAAGUGAGUUCUGAGAUCAGGUUGGAAUGAGAAAAGAGAUGGGUUCUCCAGGAUGAAAUUGAAAAGGGAGAUGCAUUUCCAGGAUUUGAUAUCUGGGUCUGAUAAAAUACGGCGAAGAGUGGAGAGAUUGAGAUCGGAGAGUGGUGUUUCCGGUGAAGCAAGAGUUUGGUUUAUAGAGGAAGAAUUGAGGAGAAGCUUGUAGAUUGAGAAUGUAUAAGUUUGUUUAGCUGUCUUCAGGGUUUUCAAGAAGCAUUGCGGAGUCAUCGAAUCGUCUCGUCGGCGGCUUUGGCUCACUCACCACUCCGUUCAUCAGAACUGGAAAUUUGAACCGGCCGCUACAAAAGUGGCAAGAUGUUCGGUUUUCUAAUAUGAGAACGGCAUGAUUUGUUUAUCACCUUCAUGUCUCCGAACAUUUUAUUUAUUAUCUAAGUUAUAGGCUUAUUAUAGCUUAAGAAAAAAUGGCUUAUUAUAGGCAAUCUCAUAUGGACCUCUUGGAAGAGAUCUCCAUGUACAAAGACAUUGUUCGACAUACAUCUGAUCUACUGACCAAUCACUUCUCGCUAUAAAGAAUAAUUCCCAUUUUAGCUACUAGAACAAAUGUAUCUCCAUAAUCAACACAUUCAGUCUGUCGGUUUCUGAGUGCCACGAGUCUGGGUUUGUAUAUCUCACUCUAUGGUUCCAUGAGAUCAGUAUUUUACUAUAAUAUAUUCAUUUGCACACAAUUGCCUUUUUUUCUUUCGGGGCAAAGUUUCAAGAUUCCAUGUAUGAUUGUCUUCUAAAGCAUCAAUUUCAGUUCCCAUUAUGUUUCUUCUCAUCUUGUAACCAAUAGCUUGCUGAAACAUUUUUGGUUAUGUUAACAUUAUGUUAUGUAUCACAUAUAUAUAUAUAAGACAUAUAUAUAUAUAUAUAUAUAUAUAUAUAUAUAUAUAUUUUACACACAUGUUACUUAAUAUACUAUAUUACACACAUUUUCUUAUUGUUAGUUCAUAAACAUAAUACACAUUACUGUCAUGUUUUGUUUAUUGUUUUGAUAAAACUGACUGUCAUGUUAUGUUUCAGUUUAAACGAAGAAGCGUAUAUAUCAAUUUAAUCUUAUGUAAUAGUUAUUGAAUAUGCAUCCAUUUUACAAUGUUUUAACAAAAGAAAUAUAAUUUUACAAUGUUUCAACCGAGAAAUCAUACUUUAUUGUUAAAAAGAAAAAAUGACAUUUUGAAAUCAUAUAUAUAUACAUUUUGUAAUGCCCACUCAUUGGAUUCCGCUAGUUGGUGCUACUGAAAUAUUGAUAAGGCAUAUGCGUGAAUAAAUGUUAAAAGUGGAUAAUAAUUUCCUCUUAUUUUUCGUUAACGUUUUCAUAACUCUACUUCUGAAUUUGGGUCGACCUAUCUUAUCUAUUAUCCACAUGUAUGUGAUGUGUACGUCAGUACGUAUUAAGAAUAUAUAUUACUUUGUGUCAUAUAUAUUACUUUAAUCAUUUCAACAUAAUCCAAAUGUAUAUUAAAAAAUAUUGUGGGAGCUAUAAAUAGAAAGAGAAACAAUCACAUAAUAAUUAGAAAAUUCUGAGUGAGAAAGACAAUAAAAAAAAGUUUGUAGUCAGAGAAAUAUUUGUUUUUCUAUAUCAAAGGUAAACUGUCUCGUCAAUUCUUUUGAUAAGGGUAAAAAUGUGACAUUGAAUUGCUAUAUUGGUAGAGCAAACUUGUUGAAUUCGGUAAAAACAAUUUGUAAAUAUAUCACUUUCAAAAAUUGCUCGGCAUACAAAAUACUUGAAAGAAGAUAUCGUCUAAAGCUAUAAAUAGUAAACUGAGCCAAAUUAGUAAGACAAACACAUUAAAAGCUUGAAGUUUGAGAAAAUUGGGAAUAAUAGAUACGACUAUAAAGAAAUGGUCCUCACAUACUCAGCGUUGCGUUUGAUUUCAAUGCUAAUGGACCACACACAUAUAUUCAUCCCCUCGAGCUAAUAUUACCAUCUCAUUUUGUCAGAUCCAUUAUACGCAAAGAUUCUAAUGUAUUUAUGUUUUGUUUUGCAUUUAUAUAUAAAAGCGAUGAAACAGCAAACUAGCUAUUUCGAUAAAUACGAAGAUAAUCAUAACACAAAAUAUUUACACAUAAAAUUCUUCCGAUUAAAACAUAUCGAGUCCAUUUAGGGACCCAAAUUGGUAAAUAUAUUAGCCAAAAGAGAGAACAAUAAGCGAUAAUUAAUAGAAUGUUUAGAGAUAAGAGAUAACAAAGAUGAAUAGUGGUACUACUUAUGUGAUUAGCAAUAUAGCUGCAAGUUGGAGUGAAGACAUAUUAUAUUAAUUGAGGUACUUAUUUUCGUAAAACAACAAUUUCAUUUGGCAAUACUGAAAAAUAUAUCCAAAAAUAUACGUGAUUGACGGACAUAUCAAAGAUAUCAUCAUGAUGUGAAAAUAGCUGCCAACUUGCUAUAUUGGUACUGAUAGAAUGAUUUGGCUUCCACUUAUGGACGAAGUCUAGGUCAUCCAAGGCAUUGCUCAAAACCAUUCGAUUCAUAGUGGAAGCUAUGAUAAAAAAAAAAAGAUUUAUUUCUACAAUGACUAAUGGAAAGUAAUUUAGACACACACAUCUCCAUAACAUAGAAAACAUUACUAAACACACAUAUAACAAGAUGUACUACAAGACAUAAUAACCAAAAAUAAUACUAAUAUUUAUAGAAUUUGUUUUGGAAACAAGUUUGGGAGGUUGUGCUCAUAAACAAAACAUGAAACUCAUAACUGUGAAUAGGUUUUGUUCACAGUCUGAGUAUAUAUGAUGCUAUAGAUUUAUUGUUCCCUUAUAACAGAAUAAAGAGAAAAAGAGAGUAUAUAUUCUUCAUUGUUUCAAUAUCAGUUAUAAGGACGAAAUCUAAAUAUGUAAAUAGAGGGGACACAAAUAGGUUGGACUGAAUAUGCCUAGCCUACAAUGUGUGUAAGGUCCACCCAACAAGUUCUUGAUUGAUUCUCAAUUUGAAUGUAAUAGCCAACAUGAACCAACAAAACAAAGAACUGACAGUGUGUCUUGAAAACCUUUUCUUUGCUAGACAACAAUAGUUCCAUAUAGACCUGUUAUAUAUAUUAUCUCAACUUCCAUAUAUAAUAUCCUUUUUUGUUUCUAACAAAACAAAACUAUAUUGUGUUGUUUUGGAAAUGCAAGGUGGGAUUGGCAACAUAAGAAAUAAGGCAUAUAUAUUAGUUACCUUAAGUAGAUCUCUCUUACCUUACUGAUCUUGAUGUUGUGACUCUUGUUCACUUAUUGAAAUAGAAGCUUGUGGAUCUAUUAAUGUCUUGAUAAAGACUGCCAAAAACCUGAGAUCAAAUGCUCAAUGUUAUCACAUGAAACAAGAUACCCACAAAAGUUCUUUGUCAGAUCUUUAUGUAUAACAAAUAAAAAUAAACGGGAGGAUAUGUUAACAUAAAGGUGAAAAAAAAAAACUUCAAGUAGAAACAAACCUACCUGAAGAAGAUCUGGAUGGAAUCCAAAUAAUCUAUACAGAGGGAGAGAGAGAGAGAGGGAAAGAAUAGUCGUUGAUUGCCGAUGCAGCAUCAUCAAGAUUCUCAUUUUCAUAGAGAACUUUGUGGAGAGUGAAUCACCACCGUCCAUCAACAGAUGUGAAUCUUGAUGAUGCCACAGCAGCCAACAACGACCGUGGCUCCGGAAAUUAGUCUUCCAUUUUUGUUUAACAAUCUUCUUGUAGUAAUCUUUUGUCUCUCAAACUCAAACUCAAACUCAAACUCAAACCCAAACUCAAACUUUGAGUGACUUACUACUUAACAAAUAUCAUCUAUAUGGUACUUAACCUUCUUAAUUUAUAGACACUAGAAACUCGUACCUUCAUAUAUAUAAUAUAUAAAUAUGUAUAUACAAACAUGGCGGAAUAGUCGAGAUGACUUGUUUUGAUUGAAGGAAUUUUGAAGUAACUAAGAUGUCAAAUUUAAUCUCGUAUACUUAGUUGGAACCUAACCAUCUCCAAACCAGAAGAAAAAAGUGAAAAAGAAUUGAAACCCUAAAAGAUAAAGAUGGCAGAGGGGAAGCAAAAACAGAUGAUCGAAUAACAUCUGAACUUCUUAAUAUAUACUGCUAAAAUAGUAAAACGAGACAAACCCACAAAUUUCUAUUUUUGAUUUGAAAAAAGCUUAAGUAUGACGUAUUUAUAACAUAUUACCAGAUCUUGGAAGCCAUAUAUUAACCAGAGAAAGACCUGGUGAGAUCUAGAACACAGAUGAGAGAGAGAGAGAGAGAGAGAUGUGUUUGUCUAAAUAUAUAUGCACAGUAAGAGAUGUGACUGUGUAAUAAUAUAUAUGUUGAUUUAUUUGGUAUCAUAUAUACAUAUGUUGAAUUUUUGUUACUAAAUGUUAAUAUAUGCAUAAAUAUUUUAUGAAGAGAGUUUGAUUGGCAGAAGUUGAGUUAUGGUAAAGAGAGUUGGGACAAAUGGAGUUAGGAGCUGCCAUCUUGGAGUCCACCUCGUGAAGGAAUAUCUCACUUUCCCACUUCACAUGUGUAAACUUCUUCUUAUUUGCGCAACUAUUAUUGGAUCUAUGCCCCUUAUAAAAAAAAAGAACAAAAAGAAUAGCAAUUUGAAGUAGCUAAAGUUUUAACAGUUCAGUGAAAUUAAAUAACAUUUGGUGGUAAGCUUUAAGCCUUUAACAGUGUAGUGAAAAUAAUUUAGUGAUUACAACUUAAAAACGUAGAGAAACUUAAAGAUAAACGGUAAGACGAAUUAAAAAGAGAGUGGCAAAACAAAGAGUAAUAAUUUAGUAAUUCGUUUAGUUGAAUUGAAUCUAUUUAGGUUAAGAAGAAAAACAUUGCCAAAUUGUCUUGGGAAAAGAAUAUGUACUUUUCUGCCCUGAGUUCAAUUCUCACUAGAAACAAAGUUAUGGUAUUUUUGGUAAGCAAUAAUGGCACAGUAUUGAUUUCAUGGACUGUAUUUUGGUAAGUCAAUUAAAUUCACUUUAAAAUUACUCGGAUUUUUCUGUGAUUCCGGAAUGUUGUUGUGUUAGCAUGGUCUUUGCAAAACAAGUUGAACCUUGCAUUACUCCGGUGUCGUCGAUGCAUUGCAAUUAGAUAUAUAUAUAUAUAUAUAUAUAUAUAUAUGUAUAUAUAUAUAUAUAUAUCCAAAAAUAGAUGGGAUAGUAAAAUAUAUAGAUUCAAGGAAUUAUCUGAAUGUUGUUUUUAAUAUAUACAAAAAAUUGAUUGUUGACACAUAUUGAGAUCCAAGACGGCAUAAAUACUAUGUGUACACAUAUGAAUACUACGACAGGACGUAAUUAAUCAUCUCUCAAAGAAAUUUGAACCCGGGACACAGUGAACCUUAAACCUGUUUUUGUACUAAGAAAAGCUGUAGCAAAAGAUAUUAAUUCAAUCUAUGGAGUACAUAGUAGAAAGUAGAAACAAUAAUUUCUCUAAGUACUACAGGUUAGCAAAACCGAUGAUACCGCCAAAACAUGCACACAAACUGAUCUUUAAACCAAAAGAUCUACAAGACAAAGAUUUUACGCACACAAGAAAAUGGUCCAAACAGUUUUAUUUCGAAUUGAACUAAAGAAAUGAAAGAGAAGAGUUCACGUGUUAAAAGUGGUCAAUGAAAAAUGUCUGUCUACAAAAUGAAACGAUUGGUGCAUCACGAAUAGAAAAUUAUUGUCAUCAAGCAAAGUUCGAAAACCACAUUCCCAAAUAUACAUAUAUGUAUUAGCUUCUUAUAUUAAACAUUAUAAUAAGAUUUAUAUUAUACUUGAAACAAAACCUAUAAUCUCAAAUUCUCAAUGGCAUCUAUAAUAACGAAUAAAAUUAAUCUUUAGUUAAGGAUCCUGACUACAUUUACUCUACCAUGUGUAGUAAAUUUAGUUUAUAGAUCAUACUUGUUUAACCUAAUAAAGUAUUAGCAGACGGACCUCCUUUAAUUACCUGCCAAAUGUCAUGUAAAAAAACCAUUUUCAUUGGUUAGUUAUUAUAAUAUGUUUGUCAUACAAUGUGUAAGAGUUGAAGAGAAAACAACAAAAUGGGGGGUGUGGUGCUUGAUUCUGGACGUGUCUCUCUCGAAGUUGGGAGUUUUAAUAUUGGCGGUUUGCAUAUUAAUUUUUGCUCUCAACGAUUUCUUAAUUUUUGUGGCAAACCUUUAUACAUCAAAUAAAUUGAAAGAAAGGGAGUAUAUAAAGUGGAUGAACCCGACUUUUAUUUAAAGAAAGUAAAAGCUAUAUAUAUUUAUAUAUAUAAUUAUAUACCCCACUAAUCAUAUAUUUAUUUCGAUUAGCAGGAAAAGCAAAUCCAUAUAUAUACCAAUUGUUUGAAAAAUUAACUAGUAACUUUAACCAGAUUAAUAUUUGUGUAUUGUAUAUGUUUACUGAUAAUAUAGAAAACUCGAAAGUAUGGUCUUCACUCUUCACUAUUCAGGUGGUUUGAAGUACUUUGUUGAACCCAAGGAACUCUGAUGCUAUUACGAGGAUCUGGUCUCUGGAUUAUUUUUUUGAAGUAUUAUUAUUUAUAAAAUAAUUGUCCACUAUCUAUUCGAUAAAGGUUACUUGGUUUAGGGUAAAGAUAGUUUUUGAAAACCCUUGGAAAAAGGAUUACCGCAAUUAUUAUUAGACUACUAACACUAAACUAUAAUAUCAUGGGAAUAUUUUUAUCAUUACCAAUACGCACUUGCCAAGUUACGUCACUGUGUUUAAACUAGAUUUUAGAAAAGAAAAAUAACAGAAUUUAGAAGAAAAUAAAAUAAAAUAAAAAGGUAUAACUAUUUUUGGUAGUUGUUAAUUUGUUAUAGCUUACAAAGCCAGUUUGUAAUUUUUGGGAUCGUUAGAUGCCUUUGGAGUGUGUGGUCUUUAAAAAGUGAAACUGAUGGAGAAUGAAAAAGGGAAACUGAAUUACAUGAAAAUAGGUUAUAUUGAUUGCAUUGAAUUGCUCAUUGCUCGUUGUUAUCGUGUUAGCAUACAUGCUAGAAUGACCAUUUUCACUAAUACUCACGCCUCUUUUUCGGGUGUAGGUGAAGAGUAGUUGUUUAAAAUUGUGUGUGCCAAGACUAAUGAGACUAUAAGAGAUUAAUUUUGAUUUUUAAAUUAUUUGAAUAAAACGGUAGCAUAGCUUUAGAUAUUAAUCUGCUUUUCUAUCGGACUAUCAAUAACAAACUUUCGUAUUUUAUUCAUAAUUUUGUUGUUUUAUUAGUUAUAACAGUUUUAAAUUCAAAUAAUUUCGAAAGAAAACCACUUGACACUGGGCCAGCCAGUUCUCAACGUGAAUUUAGCGCGUGUGUAGUCCUAAUUCCUAACCAAUGUCUUGAGCGGUUUAUAUCAUAUCUACCAACUAAAAUAAAAGUUAGUCUAUAAACUGGAAUUCUUUAGCCCAAUAAAUAUGAACUGUUAGUUCAUAAUUUAGCAGAUUAUAAAAAUAAUGUAAGGGAAUACAUAUCUUAUCUAGUCCACAUUUCGUAUCUUUCCAUUAAAUUUGAUUUUCAUUGUCCAAAAUAUUGAAAAGUAUCUAAAGGUGAGAUUCGAAUCAGGCCACCUGAAAGGGACCCCAAGUCCGUACAGUCUGAAGUGGAUAGGUGCAGAUUUUGUUGACAAGUUGGCGUUCUUUAUUACGUGUUCUCUUCGAACCGUCAUGAUUUCGUAGCCACCUCUUUUCCCCUACCUAUAUACAACACAACAAAUUUUUUUUACCCCAUAUAAAUUUAACUAUUUUUUUGAUUAAUUGUUUAAUUGGAAGAAACAAUUUUUUUCGAAAAAUAUCGUUAAUUUUGGUUUCGGAUAAACGGGUUAAACAAUCAGCUUUGACAUUUUUUUUUUUGUAAAUAUAGCUUAGACAUCUUCCUAUCGUGAAAUCCAUAAAAUAUAUACAAAAAAAUAUAUAUCAUGAAAUUGUUAAAUUCGUUUAGAAGAUUAAAGCAUGUUUCAUUGUCCUAAGCAUACGACAAAUGUAUGUCCAGUGUCAUUGUUUUUUGUUAGUUUCUAGGCUAAUUCUUUUGUGUGUUUUUUUUCUAACAAAAACUUGUAAUCUUAUAAACUUUUUAUUAAGAGAAAAGUAAACAGGAUAAAUGUAAUGACAUGGCUCCAAUGAGGUUGAGGUGGACCAAUAGCCCCAAUGGUACGUCACGUGACACUCAUGGUUGUUUCAUAAAAGUGCACCAGUAAGACACUCCUUGCCACGUGACCAAUGGGCUCAAGGACAGAGCCAUGGACCAAACUCUAUCACCCCAGUUCCUGUCUGGUCCCCUCUUCUUCACUUUCUUUUACUUUUCCAAUUCAAUGUGAAAAUGAAAUGUAUAAUGCUAAUGGAAUAAAUCAUUGCUUUUUCGUCUAAAGAUUUUGGAUUUUAACCCAUCACCAAAUUCGAUGAGAACAAAAAAAACGAUUUAAUAGAAAUGUUUUGAUGCGCCGAAAAAAAAAAUUGUACUAAUGGAAUCUCAUAAUGAGAGAAGCAACACAUUAUGUCGAUAGACAAAGUCAGCCAACUAUGAGUACUAAUUACAACGUUUCGAAUCCUCAUUGGCUUUGCUCUGUGUCAACAAAUCAAAUGAAAGACACUUUUUUUUUUGUAUUAUUAAACUUUGAAACAAAGUAAUAUAUAGACGACAAAAGAAAAUCUCAUAUGCAAAAGUUACACUAGAUCGAGUAAUUUAUUGUCAGAUUCAAAGGUGUACAACACAUAUGCCACAUCACAGUGUUUAUUUUAUAGCCUUUUCUAUAUUUUAGAGUCCAAAUUUCCAAAAAUAUAAGUUGUUUACAAAUACCUGCAUAGCAGAAAACUACAAAAACUAGGAUUUAGAGGGAAAACAUUAUGAGCACGACAAAAUUAAUAAAUUAAAAAGACUCAUAUGAAUUUUAAAAGAAAGAUUAUGGACCUACGAUAUAUGAUUUGAUAGCGAUAUAUGUUAAUUUUAUAUUAUAUAGUAUUUAUCAGUUUCAUGUGUUGGUUAAGAAACUUUUUAUUUUUGUUUUGACAAGAUAGCUGGUUUUUACUUUUAGCAGAGAGCGCAUAUAAUAACAUUGUGCUAAUUCACUAGGAUAAUAGCUAUACCAAAAAUAGACAGAGAAUCCAAUUUUAGUAAAUCAUAGUUCUGUAUAAUUUUGAGAAAAUAAGUGUGGCUUAAAUUUGGAGUUUGGACAUAUCAUAAUGAUCUUAAAUUUGGUAUGCUCUUGGCUAGUCACACUCAUGUUCAAGAAUCAUUUUGGAGUUACAUUCUAGUUCUAUGAGAUUUCAUACCUAAUUUCAAAAAGAGAUUUAGACAUUUACCUAUCCGGACAGGUCAAAGAAGAUGUUUUAAGAUCGAAAAUUUUAUUGGAUGUGUUAUUGAAUUUGGACCGGUAUACCCGUAACUUGGACAGUAAUCCAACCCAAAUAUAACUUUCAAACCGAAUUUACUUUUUAAUCUACCUAGACCUAGUAAAACUUGGCAAAACCGAAUGACUUUACAAAUAUAAAAAAACUUUGCAGAUAAAUUAUCUCUUUAGGCGGAUGAACAAAACGGAUAAAUUAAUAUUCUUCCCAAGAUGUUGAGCUAGGGGAGGUCAGACAAUUCUUUGGACAGAAUUUAGAUUCGCCACUAAACCAUUAGCUCUCCUAUCUGCUUUUUCCAUUAUUUAAUUUAUUUGUUAAUUUUUUUUUAUGUUUUUCUUAUAUAUUCGAAUUUGGUAGAAUUUAUGUUUCCCUACACUCUGUUUUUUUUGUUCUAAGUUAAAAUACGGUUAAAAAAAAUAUCAGAUAAGCAAUUUCCAAUCCGGAUACAAUUUAUUUUAUUCUAUAUUAGUUAUUUUGUUUUGUUUUUCAAUGUUAUAAUGCGUAAUAUAAUGUUUUUUAAUUUGUUCAAAUAAUAAUGUUAGUUUCAUAUAUGUGAUAUCAUGGAUUUAAAGUAGUUUCUGACGGUUGUAAGAUGUAUAAUUUGUUUUAACGUUACAUUGAUGAAACUUUCGAUGAAAUUGAAAAAAAUAUAGGGUUCUGGAUAUUAAUCAUAGUCUUAUUAAUAUCCAGAACCCAUUUUUUAAUCAAUUUUGUGCAAAUAAGCUCCCAUGCACAAACCAACUUUGUUUUUAUAUACUCCCUCUGUUACUGAAUAUUUGUAGUUUAAAGUUUUUGCACACAAAUUAAGAAAACAUACAAAUUUUAUUUAAUUUAUCUUUUUCCUAUAAAAACAUCAUUAAUUACAACUAAUCCAACCAGUAAAAAAAUAUAAUUAAUUAAAAAUUAUUAAAUACAUUUAAUGUUUGCAUAGAAAAGUGAAAACAACACUUAUAUUAAAAAAAAAUAAAAAACCUUAAAACUACACUUAAUUAAAAACAACGAGAGUAUAAGUGAUCUACAUUCAAACCGAACUAAUGCAAUGAUCCGACGAUCCAAUCCAGUUUUAGACUAAUGCAUUGAUCCGACGAUCCAAUCCAGUUUUAGAGCAUUAGUUUGGUAACUUAUCUCGGACAUAGAAAGUUUUGAUUAAGAUUUUUUUUUUUUUUUUUCCUUUUUGGAGCUACGAAAGAUUUAAAUAAUUUAUGGUAACACUACAUAUGAGCAAGUAAAGAACUUCAUUAGCGAUAUUUGGGCUCGUUUAACUAAACCCAAUCUAAGGGAGUUAUUACAAACAAACAAUGCCCACGUCUAUCAGCUUUUUUGGGCCUAAAAAAUAAAAAUGCAUGGAGAUUUUAUAUAAACUCCGAACAAGAAGAUGAUUUCAAUCGAAUGUACCUAGAAACCGUCUAAAUCGAAUCUGUAAGAGAAGAAUAAAAUUCAGUACGGACCAGAUGGUUUUGUAUACCAAAUUCAAUCCAUAAAGAAGCAAAUUCCCAACACUACUUAAAAAGAGGUAUCAUUAUUCAAACAUUGGCGCUCCCUCUUCUUUGGACAGGCUUGUAUAUCACCACAGUGACAAACUUAGUCCUGAACCGAUGCGAGAAACCGAGUGCUACAACAGAUCUUGGGGCGUCUCGGUUCUCGAUAUAGAGGUGGUUCAGGACAACAUUCUGUGGCGCAUAAGCCAGUUCCAUGCUACCCUGAUUGCCUAAUAGAGAGUGUUGAAGGUGUGGCGGUACUGCUGGAGGAUCUCUUGUCUCAUCUUCGGUUGAGGAAUACACAUUGUUGUAACUUGAAACCGGUGAUACAGGUACUUCAAAUCCCACAACCGUUGUGUCCUCCUAUGUUUAAGAAAACGAUAAAAGAUUGAAAAAUCGAGCGGGAGACUGGAAAUUACUCGAUUAGUUGGUUGAAGGCAAAAAGGUGUUUUAGCUGGCUUACAUGAUCAUCAGGAUUUUGACUGUUCAUCUUGGAUAAGAUUGCCACCUAGUGCCUGAAACAAAAUAUAAUCAUAACUAAACCGCAAUAGCAUGCAAAGUAAACAAUCAAAAUGAAUGUAGGUCACACCAGCUCAAGUGCCAUUCAAACUAAUCUAAGAGAAAGAGGUGUUUACAUUUCAACUCAAAAACACUGAAGCAGAAAUGAAAACAAUGUUGUUCUCUACAAUGAUGCAAACUCUUAUUUGUGUGAAAUGUAAGACUUUUGUCUAAUCGGUAUCAAAAGUCAAAUAAUUCAUAAUCCCGUAGACAAAUCUAAGGAUCCAAAGAUGCAGACAGUCUUAAGAAAGUUGGACCAGAGAAUCAUAUUUUCCCAUGCCUUCUUCGAAGAAAGUACUAAGGUGGACAAAGGAUUCAAAAAUCAAUGGACCACAGGAGUUAGAAUAGAAACACAUUGAUCAUUAUCACAACAGAGACAAGUUGGAAGACAUAAACUACAUUGUUAUUAUCAUGUACAUCCAAAUUCCACAGCUAAUUCUUCUCUAUGUACACUGAACAGAUAAUAUAUAGGAUUUAACCAUUUAUUAUAUGAACUCUUUGCACAGUUUUAUCUCAUCUAAAGACCCUUUAAACCUAUUACACACCAUAGGAACCAUAUCUCAGCUAAAGACCCUUUAAACCUAUAAGAAAACCGCAUCAUGCCUACAUCGAAAAUCUAUCAAGCUUCAAGAUUCCAAACACUUCCAAGACAGAACCAUGAAGAAUUUCCUUGCACGAGAAACUAAUCCCCACGAAGUUAUUCGGCUAACCAAAUUCCAUGUUCAGAAUAAAAUUUGUAAAGUCCUCCUAUCAAGUGAUGAUGAAGAAACCAGGCACUUAAAUGCUUAAAGAGAAUCCAAUAUUUGAGGUCUAAAUCCUAUACACACAGAACAAAAUUCCCACAAAUCAACUGGAGAUAUCAAUGAAAGAACUGUACUCACCCAAUCUGAUGAACACACAUACACACUUAUCAACCAAACUGGAACAACUUUAAAACACAACUACUAAGCUUAAAAAUACAUAACAAUGAACACAAUAUCAGAAGCCAAACUGGAGUUAAAAUUCUCACCUUUGGGAAGCUAAGCCCUUCAAAUUACCCUUUCAAAAACGUAGCAGCAAUGAAAGUCUACACAAAUCCUUAAAACAAAAACCUGCAAAAUCAUCAGUAAAUGACCCAUCAAAUGAUAAAUAACACCCACCUAAUAGAAAACCCUAGAAAUCACCGGAAAAUCAAAAUUGAGGAAUCAGUCGCAUAAAAAAUGAAAUUUUGAAUCAUGGGUAUUCGAUUUUACUUCGAUAUCAAUGCAAAUUUCGUAUAAAAUCAGACGGAAAUUGGAAGAACGAAGGAGACGAAACGAAAUUGAGAAAGGCAGAGAAAGAGAAAAAAAGAGAGGGUUUACUCUGUUUUUACUUAACCUAGAAUAUGAUUAGCUCAAUGAUUGAUUGAUUAAUUUUAGACAGCUUCGAGAGAGAAGAUUGGGUUCGUCCUGGAGAUUCUUGACGAACACAGUCGCGACAAGCAUCAGCUUUUGUUUUGCUUAUUGGCUUAAACUUUGCUGUCCUUCGAAAACAUUUUCUUUCCUCAGAAAACAUUUUUUUUCUUCUUAUGGAAACUAUUUUACUCAUUAACUUUCUUUUUAGUUUCCAAAAUAAAUAAUUGACAAAUAAGGAUGUGUGAUUGGUGGUUUGCUUUUGUUCGACUCUAGUGUUCGCUAGACAUGCUGUUUUUCCUCUGAAUAUGUGAAGAUUUCUUUGAUUCUAUGCGAUUCGAUCUUUUACCUUUUUUCGUCUCUUAAGAAUGGUGUUAUCGAGACUAAAUCUUCACUCCUUGUCUAUGCUUCUCAGACUUGAUCGAGGUCUGGUCCUUUCAUGAAACUUCUAUUUAUUUGACAUUUUUAAGACAAAUAUAGAUUGAUGUUCAUUGAGCUUAUUAUAUAAAGAUAGAAAUGCAAUAGUUCUAGUGAGCUUUAUUGAAAUGUAAAGAAGAGAAAAAUGUAAAGGAGCUUAAGGUUUGUCACCAAAAGCCAAUGUUUCUAGAUUUGAUAUUUCAUAAGAUGAAGGAAGAGAGUUCUCUCAAAGUUACAAUCAUAGUUCUCAUUACAUAAUUGUUUAUAUGAAUCUUCUAACUUGUUAAAAUUCUACUUAUGUAGACCUCACAUUGGGUUUGGACUUGUUUUAGUUGUGGACUCUAAUACUCCCCUGCAAACUUAGCAGCGAGUAUGAAAACAAUGAUGAUAAAUUUGUUUUAGUUGAUCGAAGAGCUUAAUUUUCAGUCCAUGAUCCAAUGAAGGCACAUAAUCUUAAUGUUUAUUGUUUCUUGUCGAUUUAUGACAUCACCACAUACGAAAGAAAGUUUGGGCAGUGGUUAUCAGGUUAUAAAGCUUAAAAAUUCUGAAAUCUGAAGGUUGUUGUUCAUCUCAAUAGGAGGACUUGUGUAUCGUUGGUUGGUGGUGGGCAUCCGCGAUACUUUUCUUUCAAAUAAUCUUCAAGAACUAUGCGACUUAUAGUUUUGGUGGGAUUUCAACUACUAUUGCUUUUUUCCUCUUGCUUUGUAGUAUUAUUUAUGACUUUUUUACUUAGGGCUUAAACUUCGAAAAAAUCUCGUUUUCUUUCGGUUUAAUGUUGUAUUUUAUCAAGUAUUUCAUCAUGGUAACAUUAAAAUAACUCUAGAUGACAAAAAAAAAACAAAUUAAAGAGACUCCAACUUAAUUUCCCUAUUUUCUUAGUUUUUUUUUUCUGUUUUUUAGUUCUUCUUUGUAUUUUUUUUUUUUUAAAUUUCAAUACAUAUGAGAUUACUCUAUGGUUUGGAAAACCGCAUGGUACCUAAAUCCUACAACAAUGGAUUCCUUUUCCUUAGGUAUGUUUUCGUAUAUGUAUUUAUCAAUCGAAGAUUUGUAUGGUUUAAUGAAAUAUUUAUCGUGUUUUUGUUAUCCAAAAGAAAGCAAAAUCCAAUAGUCCCGAAAACCCAUGCAACCGUGUACAUAAUAAUAUAUAUAUUUAAAAAUCCAUGUCCAAUCUCCAAACCAUUUUAAAACAAGAGAAACAAUAGUUUGAAAAUAUAGAAAAUUGCGUGUGAGUGUGUCAUAAUUCAUAAAUGCAAAGACAAAUGUUUGAUCUUUGAUUGUAAUUUCUGAAACUCACGGACUUUCCUACCUCUUUCUGAUCUUCCCGACCCCAUCAACACUUUUUUGUAUCUCUAUCACACAUAUAAAAUCGUAUUUUGAUUAAUACCAUUUUCCAGCCAUUUUGCCUCUGUCCUCUCCUACUUACUCUUCUCUCUUAUGUUUCCAGCCAUCACUCACGAGCCCAUUUAUGAACUUUAACCCUAAACCAGUGUAUAUCUCCUCCCACUUAUAUAUCCCUCACAUUAUCAUUCCAAACUCUCUCAAAAAAACAAAAAUAAUUACUUCAAACUAAAACCCAAUGUUCAACACAAGAGUUCAUAUUGUCAUUAUCACUCUAAACCUUUUAUUCUUGUACGCUGGAGGGAGACUAAUACCACUGGAGAGUGUUCCAAGCUCGUCGAUGAUGCCUUUAUCAGUCGAAGACACGGUCAAAUUGAAUCCGAGGAAUCAGAUUUUUCAUGGGACACAAGUAAAGAGUUGUAUGCCUAAAGGGUUCCGACCAAGAUCCGCUCCGAGCCGGUUUGUAAAUUAUCAGCCUCUUGUUUCCAUUAAGUGUUCCUCAUCUAAAGUUACCUCCCGGUCCAAGAUAUCGCCUUGAUUAUUUUCUCUUCUAUUUUGAGAAUUUAAUUAUACAAAUAAGACUGAUGUGUUGAUUCUUUUGGUGUCUAUAUUUAUGAAGACGUAUGUAAUGCAAAAGUAUGUGUUAUUUUCUAUGCUUUUUUAUUCAAAUUUUUAGUUUUGGAUAACUCUUCUUUAUUGCUUUUAUUCAGGGUUGUUUUUGACCAAUUUCUGACUAAAUUCAUGGUCGAAAAUUGGACAGUUUUCUUGUAGUAGAAAAACAAGAAAAUGUUAAGUUUGUUACCUCAAGUUCCUAUGUAGUGCCGAAUAGAUGAUAACGCAGUUAUAUAGUUCGGAUUUUAUUUUUGGUUGACCAAAAUUUUCGGGGUUUUGGUACGUAGAUUUUUGAACUACAAACAAAAACAGGCUAAAUGAAUCAUUUUCCCACCGCCGAGAACCAAACUCCUGGUCUUGAGAGACUCUUCCUUUUGAAGUUACCCACUACAAAAAUCAAGCUACUAGCCUUGGAUAGGUCGAUAUAUUCAUUUUAUAGGAAAACCAAGAAUACCAAAUGAAGCAUUUUCUUAUAUUUUCUGUCUUUGCAUGGUGAAACUUGAAAGA
rnacentral:lncRNA from 1 species